AACGAACGCUGGCGGCAUGCCUCAUACAUGCAAGUCGAACGAGGUCUUCGGACCUAGUGGCGCACGGGUGAGUAACAUGUGGGAAUCUACCUGAAGGUUCGGAAUAACUGCGGGAAACUGUAGCUAAUACCGGAUGUGUCUGCAAAGAGAAAGAUUUAUCGCCUUCAGAUGAGCCCGCACUAGAUUAGCUAGUUGGUGAGGUAAUUGCUCCACCAAGGCUACGAUCUAUAGCUGAUUUGAGAGGAUGAUCAGCCACACUGGGACUGAGACACGGCCCAGACUCCUACGGGAGGCAGCAGUAGGGAAUAUUGGACAAUGGGGGAAACCCUGAUCCAGCAAUGCCGCGUGAGUGAAGAAGGCCUUCGGGUUGUAAAGCUCUUUCAUCAAUGAUGAUAAUGACAUUAGUUGAAGAAGAAGCCCCGGCUAACUUCGUGCCAGCAGCCGCGGUAAUACGAAGGGGGCUAGCGUUGUUCGGAAUCACUGGGCGUAAAGCGUAUGUAGGCGGAUCAAAAAGUUAGAUGUGAAAUCCCUGGGCUCAACCCAGGAACUGCAUUUAAAACUAGUGAUCUAGAAUUUGGUAGGGGCCAGUAGAAUUUCCAGUGUAGAGGUGAAAUUCGUAGAUAUUGGAAAGAAUACCAGUGGCGAAGGCGACUGGCUGGGCCAUUUUUGACGCUGAGAUACGAAAGCGUGGGUAGCAAACAGGAUUAGAUACCCUGGUAGUCCACGCAGUAAACGAUGAGUGCUAGUCGCUGGGACAAUAGUUUCAGUGUCGAAGCUGACGCAUUAAGCACUCCGCCUGGGAAGUACGGUCGCAAGAUUAAAACUCAAAUAAAUUGACGGGGGCCCGCACAAGCGGUGGAGCAUGUGGUUUAAUUCGAAGCAACGCGAAGAACCUUACCAGACCUUGACAUGGUAUGUUUGAAUUACAGAAUCGUAAUUCUUCAGUUCGGCUGGCAUACACACAGGUGCUGCAUGGCUGUCGUCAGCUCGUGUCGUGAGAUGUUGGGUUAAGUCCCGCAACGAGCGCAACCCUCAUUUUUAGUUGCCAUCAGGUUAAGCUGGGCACUCUAAAAAAACUGCCGGUGAUAAGCUGGAGGAAGGCGGGGAUGACGUCAAGUCCUCAUGGCCCUUACGGUCUGGGCUACACACGUGCUACAAUGGUGGUGACAGUGGGCAGCAAUACUGCAAAGUAAAGCUAAUCCCAAAAAACCAUCUCAGUUCGGAUUGGACUCUGCAACUCGAGUCCAUGAAGUUGGAAUCGCUAGUAAUCGUAGAUCAGCGUGCUACGGUGAAUACGUUCUCGGGCCU
rnacentral:rRNA from 1 species